rnacentral:rRNA from 1 species
UACGAAGGGGGCUAGCGUUGCUCGGAAUCACUGGGCGUAAAGCGCACGUAGGCGGAUCUUUAAGUCAGGGGUGAAAUCCUGGAGCUCAACUCCAGAACUGCCUUUGAUACUGGGGAUCUCGAGUCCGGAAGAGGUGAGUGGAACUCCGAGUGUAGAGGUGAAAUUCGUAGAUAUUCGGAAGAACACCAGUGGCGAAGGCGGCUCACUGGUCCGGUACUGACGCUGAGGUGCGAAAGCGUGGGGAGCAA